ensembl:lncRNA
GACAAGGGACGGCCCGGGGCGGGGGUCGGGCUGCCAUCAGCGCACCCAGGGCCCCAACCGACCCGGCCUUGAGCGCAUCCAAGGAUGGGGCGUUCGGCGCUUCACCUGCCCGCUGAAGUGCCAAGGCAGUGUCAGGGCCUCACCGCCCUCAAUGCUGAAAGGAUAAACACCGCAUGUCCAAGUCCUAAGUGGGGUUGGGUGCGCGGCAUUCAUCUCUGGUUUGUGUAAUUAUGAGCAUCAAUCGAGCCAGAAGAACGAAGGAACCGGCGGCAGUGAGGAGGAGCGAGCAGUGCCAGCAUCCCGGAGCGGGCGUGUUUUCCUCCCAGUCCUCCGCCUCUUCUCACCCCAGCGUGAACCACAGGUCAGAGCGGUGCUGGAGAUGCAGAUGGCUACAAGCUCACACGCAGCAAGGUGUUUCGGCAGCUCAGCCUAGCAGGUAGGGGCUCCAAGACUUCUGCUGUUUUUUGCUUGCUGUCUAUGGUGGUGGGUUUUUUGUUGUUGUUGUCGUUUUGUUUUGUUUUGAAUGGUCCAAUGCUUCAGGAAAAGCCAAACAAACAAACAGAAGCUGCUGGAUCCCCACGCUGUGCCUACAGCACGCCUCCCACCAGCAGCAACCAGUGUCCCUUGCAGUGCCAGAGCCACUGCUGAGCUCGUGAUGCUCAGCUGUGCUUCCUCUCUCUCCUCUGUCCCAUUUGUUUUGUUGCGCUGGCUAAAACACCAUCUAAAAGCACGUCAAUGCUCACAUUUUUAUCCCAAACAAGAGGCCAAUCCAUGUUUUUGUUUCAGCCUCUGUCAUUUGGAAGUAUCAGAGCAGCUGGGACAGCUCUGUAACCAACUCUGGAAGGAAAAAUGGAAUUCUGAGCAAAUGCCAGCUCUCCCUGCAGAGAACAGAGCUGUGUGCUCACCCCCUUCAGCUCCAGCAGGAAAUGCUCCAGGACAGACCACCCUGUGCUUAUUUCCCUCCAGGUGCUGCAUAGAUACAUUUUGCAUUUCCUUUGCUCUACGAGGCUUUCGUUCAGCAGGUUCACUACCCAGUGUAGAACCAAGCACUUGGUUUCAGCAUCCUCUGCCUCAAAAAUUGGAUGGCCGCAUACAGUGCCCCCACCUUGCACAGACUGUGCUGAGGCUUUGCAGCUGGCGCAGCAGUUGCCACCCACCUGGGGUGACAUGGCAGCACCUGCUGUCCUGCUGCUCAGACCUCACCUGUCUCCCAGCAGGGGAUCCCGAGCUCCCACACCCUGGCACAUCCCUGCCAUCCAAGCCCACGUUGCCCUCCAGCUCCCCUGGCUGGGACAGGUUGGCACCAGGCAUUAAAUCUAAAACCUUUCCCAUGGAUCAAAAUGAGGGUCUGAGAGAAUCAACAUGCAGUUCCCUCUGGGCACCACAGGUUUGAACAGUUAGAGAUAACCAGGAUGUAUGCAGUGGCCCUUAAUUCCACAUACACGUUGGGGAUUUAACUGCGAGAAACCCUCUCUGUGUUGCUGAUAAAAAAACGUUCCAGAUGAGAUGUGCAAGUCGGAGAGCUCAGAGGAACCUGCCUGGAAUUGCUGCAGGUUGACUUAGCAAACAUCAGCGUCCCUCAAUUCUGCAUAGAGAUCUGCUGUAUUUCAUGGGGUUUAGCACCACUUCAGGAAGAAAGCCAUCCACCAGGAAAACUGCAAGCGAAGCUGCUUAGAAUAAAUCAUGUUAAGUCGUAUUAUCACCGCCAUGGCUUGGUCUGGUCAAUCAGGCUGAACUAUUUCAACUAUUUAAGGAAAACAAAACAGUACAAAACAAAACCAUCAGUUAUGAAUAUAUGGGUGUUCUGAAUUUUAUUUUUAUUUUCAUUUUAGUGCCAAGAACACAAAGCAAUCAUAUAGCAGUCUGUAACCUUAAGAACAACAAUACGAACAAUUCAGGCAUCCAAAGACGCCAAAUCCUUUUUUGACCACAUGAAGUAUGCAGAAAAAGAUUCAUCAUCAUCUGUUGUCUAUGACUGUCAAAUAAAUAUGUAAAGGAUAAUAAUAAAAAGACCCUUCCUCAGUCAAGGAGCUUCACAGCUAUUUUCUUAAUCAGGAUUUUGUCCCACUCUGUAGUUGAACACGUCCCACAAAAGCCUGAAGGCCACCAACUCCAUUAAAGCAAACCAAAUGAAACAAACCAGCCAACCAAACAGCCAACUAACCAACGAUGCAAUCAAACCAGCCAACUCACCAACCGACCAAACCAGCCUACCAGUGAACCAAACAACCAACCAGACAAACCUGCCAACUAACCAACCAAACCUGCCAACUAACCAAUCAAACCAGUCAACCAAACCAGCCAACCCAUUAACUGAUCAAACCAGGCAACCAAUGAGCCAACCAACCAAACCAGCCAACCAAAACCAGCCAACCAAUCAGCCAACUAAUCAGUCAUGCAAAUGAACCACCCCAAUCCACCAACCAACAAACCAGCCAACCAGCCAACAAAUCAACUAACCAGCCAACUAGCCAACCAACCAAUCAAUCAGUCAACUAACCAACCAACCAGCUAGACCAAUCAACCAACCAACCAACCAAACCAGGCAACCAACAACCAGCAGGACAAACUACCACCCAACCAGCCAUCCAACCAACCAAUCAGCCAAAGAGCAUGCUUUGUUGCCCAAGAUCAGCUCAAAUAAUGGAAUCUUAGUGUACUUCUGAUAAAAAUGGCCUCAGCUCUCCCAUGCUUUAUCCAAGGCUCAGCACAGCACAGUCCUGAUGCUCUGCUACACCAUGGAGGAUUUGCUUUUCUCCUCUUCAUCCCCUUUGAUUUCUGCAUCUAUAAUCACUCCAGCAGUCCAUGAAGUGCGAUCCAUGAUGCAGUCUUCCCUCCACAACCUUGAUGCAACCUAAACACAAGCUGAAAUAUGCUCACUUGAGGAAAUAUGGCAUGAAUCAGACUGAAAUGUGAGCUUUCAAAUAAAAAUGCAGUAAAGCAUCUUGUGUACUUUCUCAAGGUACGUUCACAUAAGUCAGUAACAGUGGUGAGAACCUAGGUCAUAAGGAUUCUAAUGGUCUCCCUGGCAGGAUUGGGUAUGGAACAGCCCACAGGUUAUCCCAGAAGAUCCAUUUUUUUGAUAUAAAGGACCAAGGUUCGGGGAUGUGGCUGCUACUGUCACCUUGCCCUGCAAUGCCAAGAGCGUGCUCCCAGGUGGGAAGUGGGAAGGGCAUCCUCAGGCUUCAAUGGACUGAGGAAAUAGAGGACAGAAUGAUGUGUUUGUGUUCACUGCCAUCCAUCCCACCUUCCCUCACAGAUCCUUUGCCCUGCAGAUGCCAGAUGGAGCUGGAACACUGAAAGCAAUUUUGCCUUUUGGCAGCCCAGGACACUUAGGAUUUCCCUUUCCCCCUUUUCACUUCUUGAGCCAAGCAUUUCUGUGUUUGCAGCCUGCAUCAUGGUAUAACCUGAUUCAGCCUAAGUUGGUCUAAUUUGGCAGGAGCCCAGUCAAAAUCUGGUCUGUCCAAACAAAUUAGUGGAACAAAUUAGUAGCAAGUCAGCAAUUGCCAGCUUGUACACGUCCACAAAAUCAUGACCUUAUUGCCUUCACUGUCAUUAAAAAUUUUCAGGUGGGGCUUAGAGAAGGAAAUUAAUAUGGCAGUGCCAUAUCACCUCUUUGAUGAAAAGCACACCAACAUCAAGCUCCAUCCACACUGACACGAUCCAUCUCCUACUGGUCCCAAGCCCAACAGAAUCUGAAGACACUGAUAAAGUACAUUAAAGAAGGUUUCUGUUUUGAACGACCUAGAAAUUAAAUCCAAAAUAUGUGGUGCAUAUAGGAGGAACUGAGAUUUUUCUAGGCACCCCAGCCAGCAUCUAUGGAGGAAUAAAUCAAAUCACACAUUCAAAGCCAUCUGACUUAAUUCAUCAUCAGCUGUUUUAAUACUGACAUUAAAACAACAACAACAACAAAACAAAACCCCGAAUUGGUCCAGGCUUUCCGUUUGGCUAAAACCAUAAUGCAAGGGCAACGGGAAGCUCGGAGUAACCGCUGUUAAACUCUAUCCGCCCUUCAUCUCCAAUGUAAAACUGAUGCUCGGUAGUCAACAAGAGAAAACUAUUUUUCCAUAACCAGUUCAUUUUGUUUGGCUUAAGCUAAAAUCCGAGGGCUGCCUUUUCAUUUACAGGCACGCUUUGUAUCUAGGUUAAGGACUUUAAAGUAUGCUAAGGAUAGGCUUUUGUUCUCCACCUCCUUGCUGUUCCCUCCUGGUUACCGUGGAGGUCAGCUCCCCCAUUAGAGCCCGUGGGGUGUGACACAUGCUGCAGCGCAGAGCAAGCUGCCACCGAUGCACUCCCUCCUUCACAAAUCCCCACAGGUCACAGCUCCCAGGGGCUCUCAGACAACUUUCUGUAUAAUUCAUGAUCGCUUCCUGAGGUAAAUAAUGCAUUCUGCGCCUCUGGUUAUUGUGCUCCUUCAAAGGCCCAGUCAAAUAAAAGUUUGUUGUUUAUCUUACUUUAAGAAUGACUGUUUGCCCAUCUCCCCUGACGUACCUUUAUCUUGUUUCUGCCUCCCACAAUAGCGAGAAGUCACUGCCAGGUAACCCCUUCCAUUUCAACCCUCUGAAAAAAAAAAUCAUGGCGUGCUGCGUUCAAUUCCAUGGGUAAAGUGCCCUGACCCCCGCUGUAUCUCUGAGAUUUACGCUGGGCUGUAUCCACUUUUUCCCCUUCAGUCACCACACACAGCAGCCAGGACUCAUUAUCUGCCAAGCAGCCUCCAUCAGAUGGAGCCCAUAGGGUUUGGGAUGGAUGCCACUGUCACUGGGUCCCCAUUUAGCUAUGUUCACUGAGAAAGGCUUUGGUAUGGUACAGAAACUGAAGUAAGGACAAAAGGUAAUCUUUAGGAUGAGAGAGGAUGGCUUGACGUGCCAGGGGAGGUUCAGGUUGGUUGUUAGGAACAAUUCCUUCUCCCAAAGAGCGGUGAGGCAGUGGCACAGCUGCCCAGGGAGUGGUGGGGUCACCGUCCUGGAGGUGUCCCAGAGCCGUGGGGAUGUGGCACUGAGGGACGUGGUUUAGAGCAGUCACGGGCAUGGGACGAUGGUUGGACUGGAUGAUCUCAGCGAUCUUUUCCAACCUUAACGAUUCUAUGAUUCAAGUGGGUCUUUGUGUGUAUUUGACACAAAGGCUUUGGAAGUGAGGAGGACC